UGUUUAAACCGUGCAUAUGACGCUAACUCUCAAUGAAUCCCUCUCAUCAAAAAGAGACCCCCUCUCUCAUAGCAAGGAGGUCCCCCGUCUCUUUGAGGCCCCUACCUCGGAUGAGAGAACUGUUUGAGGGAUUAGUGCUCAUGUGUUGAUGAAAUAAAAGCAGACAUGCCGUCUUCGUUUCUCUUUCUUCAGAUGAUGAUCCCAAGCCUUCUGGCGAUCUCUUAAAAUAAAGCCUUAGAUCUUUAAAUCCUUAUAAACCUUAAAGAGUAUCAAUUUUAAAAAAAGGCUUUAUGAAGAAAGCACUUUAAGCUUUUCCAAUGAUUUAAGAUGAUACCGGGGAAGGUUUUCCGGUUUAUCCCGGAGGGCUUGUAGCUCAGUUGGUUAGAGCGCGCGCUUGAUAAGCGUGAGGUCGGAGGUUCAAGUCCUCCCAGGCCCACCAAUUUAUGCUCGUUUUUUGCUUACCUGAGAAUUAUGAAGCUUAAGCAUAUGAACGCCUCUUUAAAUCUUUGUUCAUAGUUUAAAGAUUUCAUUUUAUUUUAAAGAAUACAGGCUAUUUAAGUUGAUAAACUUUCUUGUAUUUGAUUUGGAAGAGCAUUAUUUAGGGGCCGUAGCUCAGCUGGGAGAGCACCUGCUUUGCAAGCAGGGGGUCGUCGGUUCGAUCCCGUCCGGCUCCACCACUUUAUGGUUCAUCAUCAUGUUGUAAGAGCACGGGUUUAGUAAAAGGUUCUUUAUCCUUUUGCUUGUUCUAUUGAAAUUGUGAAGAGAAGAUAUAUUCAAACAUGUUCCUUU
rnacentral:tRNA from 1 species